GCGCAACCCUUAUCCUUUGUUGCCAGCGGUCCGGCCGGGAACUCAAAGGAGACUGCCAGUGAUAAACUGGAGGAAGGUGGGGAUGACGUCAAGUCAUCAUGGCCCUUACGACCAGGGCUACACACGUGCUACAAUGGCGCAUACAAAGAGAAGCGACCUCGCGAGAGCAAGCGGACCUCAUAAAGUGCGUCGUAGUCCGGAUUGGAGUCUGCAACUCGACUCCAUGAAGUCGGAAUCGCUAGUAAUCGUGGAUCAGAAUGCCACGGUGAAUACGUUCCCGGGCCUUGUACACACCGCCCGUCACACCAUGGGAGUGGGUUGCAAAAGAAGUAGGUAGCUUAACCUUCGGGAGGGCGCUUACCACUUUGUGAUUCAUGACUGGGGUGAAGUCGUAACAAGGUAACCGUAGGGGAACCUGC
rnacentral:rRNA from 4 species